UUGCUCUUCAACGAGGAAUACCUAGUAAGCGUGAGUCAUCAGCUCGCGUUGAUUACGUCCCUGCCCUUUGUACACACCGCCCGUCGCUACUACCGAUUGAAUGGCUUAGUGAGGUCUUGGGAUUGGCUUCGGGGAGCCGGCAACGGCACCUUGUUGCUGAGAACUUGAUCAAACUUGGUCAUUUAGAGGAAGUAAAAGUCGUAACAAGGUUUCCGUAGGUGAACCUGCGGAAGGAUCAUUAUCGAGUUUUUUGAACGGGUUGUCGCUGGCCUCUCACGGGGCAUGUGCACGCCUGGCUCAUCCACUCUCAACCUCUGUGCACUUUAUGUAAGAAACGGUGGACUUAUUGGCUCUUUGAGUCGGUAAGAAAGCCUUUCUUAUGUUUAUUACAAACGUUUCAGUUAUAGAAUGUUUACUGUGUAUAACACAAUAUAUACAACUUUCAGCAACGGAUCUCUUGGCUCUCGCAUCGAUGAAGAACGCAGCGAAAUGCGAUAAGUAAUGUGAAUUGCAGAAUUCAGUGAAUCAUCGAAUCUUUGAACGCACCUUGCGCUCCUUGGUAUUCCGAGGAGCAUGCCUGUUUGAGUGUCAUGGAAUUCUCAACUCCCUAUUUUUAUUAAUGGGCGAGCUUGGACUUGGAGGUCGUGUCGGCUCUCGUAGUCGACUCCUCUUAAAUGUAUUAGCGUGAAUCUUACGGAUCGCCUUCAGUGUGAUAAUUAUCUGCGCUGUGGUGUUGAAGUAUUUAUAGUUCGUGCUUACAAUCGUCUCUUACGGGACAACUUUGACAAUCUGACCUCAAAUCAGGUAGGACUACCCGCUGAACUUAAGCAUAUCAAUAAGCGGAGGA
rnacentral:rRNA from 1 species